ensembl:lncRNA
UUUAUCCUCCCCCCAUUUUCUUCCUUCCAACUCCCUUCCCGCUUUUCUAAUCCCUUGCUUUCUCUCCUACUGCCUCUGCUUACACUCUUUCUUCUCUCUCACUUUCUCUCUCCUUCUCUUCUCCCCAGGGGGUCUCCUGGGGUGAAUCUCAGGCCAGAGAUUUUAAGGUAUACCCCAUCCCCCACAUCACUCCUUCAUACCACAUAUCUGUGCCAACACCUGCCUCUGCUCCUGAACAGAUCCAAGGUUAGGUCUAUGACAAGUAAACUGAGGAAUGGGGCAGGGACGCAACCACUAGGGUCCCCAGACACCUAUAGUCCCACCCCUUCACUGCAUCUGCUUUGGAUCCUCAGUUUUUUGUCUGGAGAAUGGGAUGGCAAAGAGGAAGGGGCACUGUGGUGGGUAGGUGGGGCGAGCAACAAGGAGCCUGUGGCCACCAAAUCCUGUGAACAUACCCAGUUGGGGGUGGCCUAGGAGGGCCGAGAAGCCUGUCUGGGGCUCCAGCUGGCGGCACCAGGGGUAAGCUUGGGGUCUCAGUCCCCCCAUCUGUGAAAUGGGCAGCCUUAAAGACCUCAGGAAUCUUUUCAGAUGCGAAAACCAACAUGGCAAAUCAGUAGCUGGGUCUUCACUGCUGCAGAGCCCAGCAACUGCUGUGUGACCUUGGGACUUGCUUCCCCUCUCUGGGCUCUGGCUUCCUCUUCUGUCAAAGGAGGGAGGUCAGAUAGGUGAUUCAUUGCCAAGGCUCUUUUCGGCUCUGGUGGAAGAUUCUAGAUUGUGGGGAAGGAAAAAUAGUGUCCCACUUAUCCAGAGAAAACUAGAGAAGCCGUUUCUCCCACUGCAGGCAAUCGGAGCCUUCAGCAUCAGCAGCGGCAUUUUGAGCAAAUCAUUUGAAAUAUCAAGAAAAGCUCUCUAUACAAAAUAUAUCCACUACAUCAUUCAUCAGGAACAUCCAGAAUGUUGGACAAAAGGGGAAUAUUAAGUAAAUUAUGGUACAUCCACUUGAUUGGAAAAGCCUGAAGACAUUAACCAUGGUGUUUAUGAAGCACUGGUUACAAAACAGGAAAAGGCUCACAUUAUGCCGGCAAAGAAAGCAGGAUAUACAUCUGAAUAUAGAGAAUGACGACAAAGUCUUUAAAAAACAAACCAACCACCGAGUCGAAAAGGACUGGGAAGAACUACAUCAAAAUACUAACAUUGUCAGAGCCCGCUAAGACUGUCAAUAACCUUAUUUUUCUCUUUUUUUUCCCCAGCAUUUCUCUGAAUGCUAUUUUACAAUAUAUAUUUCAAAAAGAUUUAAAAAAAUACACAAAGGCUAGAUGCUUCCAAUUGAGAAACUUUCCCUUUUCAUUCAUUCAUCACUGAUUCAUUCACUCCGGUGUUUGGCUGGACAAACGCAGGACACGGUGAGCGUCUGCUGUGUGCCAGGCCCCGGGGGCUCCAAGGAAGACAGGAAGAAAAAGGUUCUUGAAAAUGGAAACUCGAGGCCUGGGGAAGGGAAGGCAGCCCUACAAAUAAGGGGGUUGUGCCACGGGGCAUGAGCAGCAUUGAAUCCCUGCUGGUUUCAGUCCUGUCUCCCAGAGCCUCACCCAGGCCUCCCUCAGCUGCUAGGGUCUCCAGGUCCAACCUAUGGGUCAGACACCCACCCUUAAUGGCCAGGCCUGCAGCUGAGUGGGUGGGCGGGAAGGGUGGGGGUGGGGAGCAGGGCAAAGGCUUGCUCAGGAGCCUGGGCCAAGGGUAGAAGGGCCUCUCCCUUCCCUCUACCCCAGACCCAUGGUGACUUCCCUUCCAGUUCCCCGAUGGCCCUGGCUUGUAACCCCUCUUCCCUCCGGGCCAAAAGGCCACUGCCUUGCUGCCUGACCCUCUCUGGGCUCUGAUUUCCGCCUCCCACAAGGUCCCUGAACAAGGCACCACCCAGCUGGGUCCUGUCGGGCUUUGAAGGGGGAGUCCAGAGUCUAGAAUCUGCUAGCUCCAGUCAGCCGGUGUCAUGCUGUUAGCAAGUCAGAGGGUCCAACAAUGUUUUCCUGCUGUGUGGGGGCUGACAGAUUUCUGGGGGAGGGUUAACUCUCUCUAUUCCUGGACCAAGAGACAGAACAGCCUGAAAACAGUCUAGCCGCCCCCCUCCCUCUCAAAAGGUGCCUCCCCUCUCCCCCAGGAAUCCUCAUUUUAAGUAGGGAGAGGAAUUGCCUUCACCUGCCUGGGUGUCUCUGGACCUGGCUCUCCAACCCAGGAAGAAAAAGGGGAGGGGGCACCUUGAUCGCCUGGCUGCUUGCCUGGGAAUCCAAUUAAGGCUGAUUUCCACGGGCUCUCCACUCCUCAAUGCCAGUCCAGCUAGCCCUUCGCUCUUCCACGUCUCCCCUUCCUCUGCAUCCCCCGAUGGAGCAAAAGAAUCUGGGGGCUUUUGAGUGCCAGGAAGCCUCUGACCCGGUGGUCCCCCCUUGGACUGAGUCCCUGCCUCAGGACUGCGGUCCCCAGAAAUUUUCUGGGCUAGCAUUUCCUUCCCAUGGCCGCAGUGGGAAAGGAGAAGUUCCCACCACUCUCCUCCCCCUUCAUCCUCCCCUCCUCCCGGCCCUGAGGGAGGGGGCGAGGCGUCCGGAUCUCCGGGUCAUCGGAGCAGCGUCUGCUGAGGAUCGCAGGAGACAAACACUUCGUCACACAAGCACAGCACCCUCGGGAUCACCUCUUUCAGACCGCAUUGUACCGGAGGGGAGGAGGCUGAGGUUGGAGGGGCCCUCGACGUGCCUAAAGUCACCAGCCAAUCGCCAAGCCCAAGAGGGGCUGCCAUCCACGACCCCCGGCCGCGAACCCAAGCCUCUCACCUUCGCCGCGCACACCCCCCAACCCCCCUCCCUGCCCCGGCGCCAUCCCAAGUCGACAUCUCUAACCCAAACAAGCCCCUCCCCCGGGAGCCCCCUCCCCCCGCCCAAGGCCCAGGGUCAGCAGCCCCAGGAGGGACCUCCUCCCCACCCCACUCCCCCACGGCAGAGGUGCGAGAUUUCAUUGUCAGCCUGGCCACUCGACCGCGCGUGAGACUGGGGCGCAGGGCGGGGGGGACCACUGGGCAGGCUCUCGUGCGGGGAGUGGGGAGGGGUCUCCAGGGGAAGUGUUUGAAGCCGCUCCUGCAGCGCUGUCCAUAUCCGGAAGCCGCCGGGGAAGGGAGGAAGGCGGGGGUGGGGAGAGCGCGACCUUAAGCUCUGGCGGGCGGCGAGGAGGGGCCGCAGCGGCCGAGGAAGCGCCUGGAGGCGUCAGGGGCGCUGAGUCCCCAGGGAGGCCGCGCUCCCGGGAAGUUUCCCACCGGUUGCCCGGAGCAGGAUCGGGCGCGCGGAUCGCCCUCCCCGGUCCGACCAGCUUCCGGGCGCAGAUUGAGAACUUGAACAGAACUCCUUCCUUCUCUGGCAUCUCUCGCCUCCCCAUCCGCGGCCACCAGCCCCGCCAUCUCAGCCCCAUGCCUUCCGCCAAUACCA